GGGUAGCAGCGCGGGCGGCCCUGCGGCUGGGAGACGGGGCCCUCCGGCGCUCUGCGGAGGACAGCAGCGACCGCCAAGGCUCACUCUAUGAUCAGAAGAUGGCAUAAUCGGGGCUGGGCACAGUGGCUCAGUGCCCAGCUGGGAUUACGCCUGUAGUCCCAGCACUUUGGGAGGUUGAGGCGAGUGGAUCACGAGGUCAGGAGUUCGAGACCAACCUGGCCAAGAUGGUGAAACCGUAUCUCUACUAAAAAUACAAAAAAAAUUAGCUGGGUGCAGUGGCAGGCACCUGUAAUCCCAGCUACUUGAGAGGCUGAGGCAGGAGAAUCGCUUGAACUCGGGCGGAGGCUGCAGUGAGCCAAGAUCACACCACUGCACUCCAUCCUGGGCAACAGAGUGAGACUCCAUCUCAAAAAACAGAAAAGAAGAUGGUGUAAUCGGAAGUUGAUAUUCUCUCUAUUGGAUCCUGCUUCUCCACUGGGGUCUUCUUGGUCACCUAAAGCCCCUCUUCUGGAGUCCCUGCCCUCUACCGGCUCUGCCUCCUGCUUCCUUUCUGUAUUGCCAUGAUUUUUGCUAAGGAUAAUGGACAACUUCAUUGGGUUCUUUGGGAAACUUGCAAUCUCCCCAAACAAGCCCCUCUGAGAUUUCUCCUUUCCAGUUGCUUUUGCUCCCCUUUCCUCCUUUUGCCACCUUUGAUAUUUCCUCCAAUUUCCUUGAUUCCUUUGAUAUGUCCCAAUUCAGUCCAACCUGCCAGAACUUUUUCCACUUCAGCACUUCAGUCACUUAAACAUUAGGGCUCCCUCCCCUAAAGGGACUCAAAAUCCUGCAAAAACAACCAUCUAAGGAUAAAAAGAGAAAAAAUGAAACUGUUUGGAAACUGGGCAAAUGAAAACCCUUUUUAAAGUCUUUUUUUUGGGGGACCAGGUGUGGUGGCUCACCCCUGUAAUCCCAGCCCUUUGGGAGGCCGAGGCAGGCAGAUCACAAGGUCAGGAGUUUGAGACCAGCCUGGCCAAUAUGGUGAAACCCCGUCUCUCCUAAUAAUACAAAAAAAAUUAGCCAGGUGUGGUGACACGCACCUGUAGUUCCGGCUACUUGGGAGACUGAGGCAGGGGAAUCACUUGAACCCAGGAGGCGGAGGUUGCAGUGAGCCAAGAUUGGACCACUGCACCAGCCUGGCAAUAGAGCAGGAAGACUCCAUCUCUUUAAAAAAAAAAAAAAAAAAGGCCGGGCGUGGUGGCUCAAGCCUGUAAUCCCAGCACUUUGGGAGGCCGAGACGGGCGGAUCACGAGGUCAGGAGAUCGAGACCAUCCUGGCUAACACAAUGAAACCCCGGCUCUACUAAAAAUACAAAAAAUUAGCCGGGCGAGGUGGCGGUUUCUGUAGUCCCAGCUACUCGGGAGGCUGAGGCAGGAGAAUGGCGAACCCGGAGGCGGAGCUUGCAGUGAGCCGAGAUAGCCACUGCACUCCAGCCUGGCGACAGAGCAGACCCGUCUCAAAAAAAAAAAAAAAAAAAAGUAUAUAUAUAUAUAGAGAGAGAGAGAGAGAGAGAGAGAGAGAGAGAGAACAGUGAGUUUGUAUUACUGUGCUUUACUGACUCACAACUACCAUUUUGGAAUGAAAGCUAUAAGAUAUUUGUGUUUUUAUGUUUAUGUGUUUAUAUUUGUGUAUAUGUAUGUAUGUAUGUUUGAAUAUUAUAUAUAUCCAUAUUCA
rnacentral:lncRNA from 1 species